GUAGGAUCUCAUACGACGUUCUAAAUCCUAGAUCAUAAACAGAAUGUUAGAUCAGGAAGGGGCCUUAGCAAUAAUGGCUCAAGCCUCCCAUUGGACAGAUGAGCAAGGUGAGGCCAAGAAGCGUGAGUGAUAUGGAAGCCUCCAGCUUGAAUACACUUCUUAAAUGAAUGAGUGUCGGCAUGGAACAGAAUCACGUGUGUGGCUCUUGUCCACUUUCCCGAAGCCCUUUGAUUAACUCCUUGGCCCUACUAGCUUUAGACAGUUCCCUGAUCAGUACAUCAUUAAGCAACCAAAAUAUCUCAUUAAAUCCAAGGAGCAGCGUAUUUGCCACUGCAAGGCUUGUGGAUGUGGCAGCCCUGGGGUAAGGGACCUGCUGCACGGUGACAUGACCAUCGCUGUGGGGUGCUGGGUGAUUGGUGUUGAUGUGUACCCUGUACUCCUUUGUUACGCAAGGGUGGUUUGAACUUAGCUUUCAGUAGCUGUUUCAUUCAAACCGUGGGUCCCUGCAUGUUCAUGGCCCCACACUUCAGGGAACCAGCAUCUACCCGGUUGUAAUGUUCCCCUAAUGUUCCCCAACUCCAGAGGCGCCAUUUCUUGCCCUGGCUUAUAGCUAGGGAACAUUGCCUCUAAAUCUUAUAGUGAGAAUUUCCAUGAGGUUGUACAGUGAGUGGUACAACCAUUUUUAGCUGGUCUGUCCCCUUCUUUAACCUAAGGAAACCACUUAAACUCUUGGAGAGAGAAAGGGUGCCUAGUUCUUGUGUGCUUUUGUUUACAUAUACAUAUUGUAGACGCUAAUGUCAAGUCUUGUUAGUAAAGUGCACUUUAAGUUAUGUAGCCUAACUUAAAAACAGGUACUAUAUAAAAAAAAUUUGCUGAAUCUAUGUGUAGCUGACAGCCACCUAUAAAAGUGCAUAUAUCUUAUGCAGUCUUUUAGAGAUCCUGGUUGAUUGCAAAUGAAGCAGAGAAAAACAUUAUCACUAAAAUGAAAUAUUUUAAAAGAUACUGGCUAUAAUUCUCCUGGAACCACUUGGACUUGACAGAGGUUUUUCAAAAAUGAUUUAGGAGGCCCACCUUUGAUGCUCUUCCCAGCAGAAAGUUGCAAGUUAAUAG
rnacentral:lncRNA from 10 species